GCAGUAUGUAGGUCAGCAGCACAGGGAGAGGCAGCGAUGGGGUAAGGAGGAUGAAGCCGAGGAGUGUGUUACACUGUGUGUUGAUAUCACUGCUGACAGAGACUCAAAUUCCUCGGCUGAGCGGGAGAAAUCAUCAGAAGCUCGACGCUGCAGAAACUCGUUGUGCAACGAAGCCGAACUGACCCAGCUUUAAACAUUAACUUGACCUUAACCACAGGACAUCAUGAUGAUUUUGGAACGGACUUUGGAACAAUGGGUUUAAUAUGGUCGGAACAAUGGGAUGUCGGAACAAUGGGAUGUCGGACCAAUGGGCUGUCGGACCAAUGGGCAGUUCCCCCUACAAAGGGGUGUCUCCCACCUGACCUCUCCCCUUUUGCUGUUGUGCUCUGUGGAAGAGGAAUACACAGAGACCGCCUCCAAAGAUAUCCACGGUCUGGGCCUCUUUAUAUCUACACAACGCAGACAUCACUCAUCGAACUGAGUUUUUGGCCUGAGACGUCAGAGAGUGUGCCGUGAGGCGUCACAAAUGAGGCGACAUUUUGUGCAAUGGUGGCUGUAACCAAAAUAGCGCUGGUUCUAACCUUGCUUAGAUUACUUUUUACACCUUUACACAUAAACAUUCAGUAACUCUUCCUCGAUAUUUAGGAACAGAGGUGGUAGUCCUCUGUUAAUAGCUUUUUUUGGUUGGUCAACAUCAUCUUCUUUGUGUGGAUUUAGGGUUACCUUUAUCGCCACUUAGCAUGCUCUUGAUGGCGCUUUUAUUGUGACAGAGAUUGAAAAGCUUGUGAUGAACAAAAGAGGGAAAAAACAGUUUAUGCUAACACAUGUUAAAAUACUUGUAUCCCUCUGGACUAGGCCCAACUCUCAGCAAGAAAGCAAAUAAACGGAUUUCCCAAAUGUGGAACUAUUCUCUGAAAAACUCUCUGUCUAAUCCUUUUUUCUUAAAAUCAAAAUCUAUGCAAUGUAUGAAAUUAUUAAAGAAAUCAGCGUGGGAGUCGUCUCAUCCGUAAGCCUCAUAAAAGCAGUAGGUGUGCUGGUUUUCCAUUAAACUGAGCUUUUAAAAGUUUCCCAUUAAACACAACCAGAGAGCAACUUUAUGCUAUCGGAUCAUGAAUACUGAUUCAGUCCAGGCACACAAGUUUCCCACGUAGCUGCUGGAGAACUCUGACUCAGGUGUGAUGAAUGUCUCUCCCCUAACUCCACUUAAAGUGAUGCAUAUCUGUGAGCAGUAUGUGUACAAUACAAAUAUUUGACUGACAUCAGAGGAACACUAAUAGUCCUUGAACACAUUAACUCAAGUGCACAGUUUCAAGUCCAAACUGCCACGCUGUUCCAUAAAUAUUUUAAAUGUAACAUCACUGAGAUCAAUAAAGUUAAUUAAACACGGGGAUGAUGUCGACUACCUGCCUUUACAAGAAACCCUGUUAACACUUUACAGGAAGCCAAUAAGGGUUUUGUUUCUAAUAAAAACUUGUUCAUUAUUAACAAGGCCUUUUAAUGCUUUUAAGUUCAUAAACUAAAAUAACCUUGUAGCUGCAGGGUGUGUUAACAUAUUAAACGAAGGCUGGCGUUUGUUGUAGUGUCUCGUGCUAAUUUAGCCUGCUUUUGUA